GCUACCCGCNGUCGNGGGGNANCAUUUCANGUUUGCUUGCAAACUGGCACAUGGNNACCGGCGCACGGGUGAGUAACACGAUAUCCAACCUGCCGAUAACUCGGGGAUAGCCUUUCGAANGAAAGAUUAAUACCCGAUGGUAUAAUCAGACCGCAUGGUCUUGUUAUUAAAGAAUUUCGGUUAUCGAUGGGGAUGCGUUCCAUUAGGCAGUUGGUGAGGUAACGGCUCACCAAACCUUCGAUGGAUAGGGGUUCUGAGAGGAAGGUCCCCCACAUUGGAACUGAGACACGGUCCAAACUCCUACGGGAGGCAGCAGUGAGGAAUAUUGGUCAAUGGGCGCAGGCCUGAACCAGCCAAGUAGCGUGAAGGAUGACUGCCCUAUGGGUUGUAAACUUCUUUUAUAUGGGAAUAAAGUUUUCCACGUGUGGAAUUUUGUAUGUACCAUAUGAAUAAGGAUCGGCUAACUCCGUGCCAGCAGCCGCGGUAAUACGGAGGAUCCGAGCGUUAUCCGGAUUUAUUGGGUUUAAAGGGGAGCGUAGGUGGACAGUUAAGUCAGUUGUGAAAGUUUGCGGCUCAACCGUAAAAUUGCAGUUGAUACUGGCUGUCUUGAGUACAGUAGAGGUGGGCGGAAUUCGUGGUGUAGCGGUGAAAAUGCUUAGAUAUCACGAAGAACUCCGAUUGCGAAGGCAGCUCACUGGACUGCAACUGACACUGAUGCUCGAAAGUGUGGGUAUCAAACAGGAUUAGAUACCCUGGUAGUCCACACAGUAAACGAUGAAUACUCGCUGUUUGCGAUAUACAGUAAGCGGCCAAGCGAAAGCAUUAAGUAUUCCACCUGGGGAGUACGCCGGCAACGGUGAAACUCAAAGGAAUUGACGGGGGCCCGCACAAGCGGAGGAACAUGUGGUUUAAUUCGAUGAUACGCGAGGAACCUUACCCGGGCUUAAAUUGCAUUUGAAUAUAUUGGAAACAGUAUAGCCGUAAGGCAAAUGUGAAGGUGCUGCAUGGUUGUCGUCAGCUCGUGCCGUGAGGUGUCGGCUUAAGUGCCAUAACGAGCGCAACCCUUAUCUUUAGUUACUAACAGGUCAUGCUGAGGACUCUAGAGAGACUGCCGUCGUAAGAUGUGAGGAAGGUGGGGAUGACGUCAAAUCAGCACGGCCCUUACGUCCGGGGCUACACACGUGUUACAAUGGGGGGUACAGAAGGCAGCUACCUGGUGACAGGAUGCUAAUCCCAAAAGCCUCUCUCAGUUCGGAUCGAAGUCUGCAACCCGACUUCGUGAAGCUGGAUUCGCUAGUAAUCGCGCAUCAGCCAUGGCGCGGUGAAUACGUUCCCGGGCCUUGUACACACCGCCCGUCAAGCCAUGAAAGCCGGGGGUACCUGAAGUACGUAACCGCAAGGAGCUCCUAGGAAC
rnacentral:rRNA from 1 species